rnacentral:rRNA from 1 species
GAUGAACGCUGGCGGCGUGCCUAAUACAUGCAAGUCGAGCGAACAGACGAGGAGCUUGCUCCUCUGACGUUAGCGGCGGACGGGUGAGUAACACGUGGAUAACCUACCUAUAAGACUGGGAUAACUUCGGGAAACCGGAGCUAAUACCGGAUAAUAUAUUGAACCGCAUGGUUCAAUAGUGAAAGACGGUUUUGCUGUCACUUAUAGAUGGUUCCGCGCCGCAUUAGCUAGUUGGUAAGGUAACGGCUUACCAAGGCUACGAUGCGUAGCCGACCUGAGAGGAUGAUCAGCCACACUGGAACUGAGACACGGUCCAGACUCCUACGGGAGGCAGCAGUAGGGAAUCUUCCGCAAUGGGCGAAAGCCUGACGGAGCAACGCCGCGUGAGUGAUGAAGGUCUUCGGAUCGUAAAACUCUGUUAUUAGGGAAGAACAAAUGUGUAAGUAACUAUGCACGUCUUGACGGUACCUAAUCAGAAAGCCACGGCUAACUACGUG